AGCCUACUGUGUUGCUAGUUGUAUAAAAGUACAACACAGACAAUUAUAUCCUUACAUAAUACUUGAUAAGAUAAUAAAAGGCUAUGUUAUAGGUUUAUGUAUUUACUGUACUGCACUUUUUAUUAUUAUUUUAAAGUGUACUUCUACUUAUUCAAAAAAAAUUUACUGCCAAACAGAAUGCCACGGGAUGCCAGCAGCAGGCCCAGACGUCUCAGAUUUAUGGUGUCUCCUGAUUGUGUGUAGAGGCCAUGGCAGACCAGAUUCCCCAUCCAACUGGUUGGGAAGCUCUUCAUGUGGCUUUUCAGAGUGGACAGUCCUGCUAGCUGUCCCUUUGCCCUCUGCCAGAUCCCCAGAGUUCUUUUCAUUCAUUGAUGGCUUAGGAAGAGAGAGUGUGUGCAAGACACACGUGUCUUCUACUCACUGGCCAAGAUAAGACAAGACUACAACAUCAUUUCCUGGUCCUGCCUACUUCCUGUGGGCGGCCCCUUCUCCACGAGAGCAGCACCUGACACAGGGGACUCAUUCUCCUUUGAUGCUUUUUAAAGGUGUACUUGUGACUCGAAUGACUGUGAUCCUGGGAAAACUCAACAUUUCAUCUCAUCAAAGUCACCUUUCCAACUUUAGCAGUGAAAACUACAAGAAAGGGGGUCAAAAUUCAGAUUAGGCAUCCUGGAGCAUCCUCUCUGGCUCCACAAGGUGAUCAGAGAGUGUGGACACAUAUCCAUCUAUUGACAAAUAAUUGUGAAAGGCAAAAUGUCUCCCUAAAUUAUAGUAAUGCACAUGUGAUGUGUAUAAUUCAACACCCUUUUGUGUAGGAAGUAGCCAUACUACUAAUACACUGCUGGUGGAAUUCUUAAUUGGUUUAGCCACUUAAAGAGAAAUCAGUAUUAUGUCUUAAAGUUGAAAAUGUAGGCAUCCUAUGGCCCAGCAAUUCCAUCAAUAUGAUCAAUAAAGAUUUAUUUCCCAAUCAGCAACCCAAGAUGACUGAAUAGUGCAAACAACUGCAUAUAUAAAUGACUCCCAGUGGUUUCAUUUUUCAAUGAGAUGAUAUCUGAAGAGCAGGAAAAAAAUGACUGGGUUCAUAUGGAGGAGAAAUCAGUUCCGCUGGAAUGCUGCUGUCAGGACUGAACACAAGGCGGCAAGUUUGUAGAUGGUGGAGACCCUCGUGCUGUUUAUCUCACAGACAUUCUCAUGUAAGCCUGCCUGGGAGAACUGAAACAGGUGGACGUAUCUGUGUAAAGAAGAAGCAGUGUGGUAUCAUCUCAUAUGGUUCUCACACCAUGGGACACAUGAGAAAGAAUCACCAAGUUUAUACCAAUUCUUUUUAUUAACAGAAGUAUUGGUUCAGGAUGAGUGGAAGCAUUGUAGAAUUUAUCUGCUGUCAGACAAGUAGAGAUUUCUAGGUAAUAUUCUGCUUCCCAGACUGGCCACUUGAGUAAUAUGAUAAGAACAUAGCCAUCAUGGUAGUGGCAUAAGUACCUACAUUUUCUCUUAAAUAAUCACUUACCUGGGGACCUCACCUCUUGAGAAUAUGUUGAAAAUAGAAAAUGUAUAUAAAGUCAGAUAGGCCUUCGUGAGAACAGUUGGUCUUUCCUGGGGGUAAUUUUGCCUCUCCCUGUAGGGAACAUUUGACGAUGUCUACAGACAUCUCUGAUUGGGCUGACUAACAAGGAAGGAAGAACUGCUAAUGGUGCCUAGAAGGUGGAGGGCAGGGAUCCUGAUCAAUAUUCUAAAAUGCACAGGAUGGCCUGUUAUAAUUUAGAUCUCAAGGGGCCGGGGAUUUAGCUCAGUGGUUCCGCUGCCUGCCUCGCAAGCACAAGAACCCGAGUUCGACCCCCAGUACCAAAAACAAAACAAAACAAAAAUAAUUUAGAUCUCAAAUGUCUCCCCAAAGUCUCCGGUGUGUGGAAGAUCGUUGGGUCAUGGGGCUCGGUACUCAUCAGUGGACUCAUCCUUGAUGAGUUCACAGCUGAAUGUGCUGCUAGGAGGUGGGGCCUGGAAGAAGGUGGGUCACAGGGGGGUGGGAGGGGGGUGUGACCUGGAAGGGUGUAUUCUUGUCCCCCACUCCUCUUCUCUGCUUCCUGGCUGCCAUGGUCUUUCCACUGUGCUGUUUCUGCUCUCAACCAGCUGACAUUAGACUGAACCCACUGGAAACUGUGAACCAAAUAAAUCUCUCCUCUUUUAAAUUGUGGGUGUUGGGUACUGUGUCUUAGCAACGGGAAAGUGAAAUACAGCCCCCCUCUCUGAACAAAACAUUAUCCACCCUAAAAUGUCAAUACUGUCUCUCUAGAUGCAGGCAUAAGGGUAUUAGCAAGGUACAUGUGGUAGCUUACAGCCUGACAGUGAAGUAGGAGGCAGAAAAAUGAUAAAAACAGGCAGAGGAGUUUUAAAAAAUGAAAUUUACAAAAGCAUAUCAGUGUAUCACCUUUUAGCAUGGAGGCAAAGAACUCCAUGUAUGCCAAUGACCCCUGACAUUAUCGCUGAUUCACACCACUGAGUUGUAAUAGCUGUUUGAAUAAUGUUAAUAUAUUCAGCUUAAUAAAACAGAUGGGGGAUCUUUAUUACCUGCAGCUGAGUGGGGCCUGUGAUGGCAGAGACUGACAUCCAUGAUAAACAGACAUUUCUGAACUCUGCCUGGAGCUAGGGACUGCUUGCUCCCCAGUACCUUAUGUAUUAGAGACAGGAUGUAUGUGGGAAAGUACUACUUUUAGGAGUCUCAAGGACUAGGGUCCUCUCUCAGCUCUGUGACCCUGGACAAUUUAAAUCUUCUGCGUAAAGGGGAUUAUAACGCUCACUAUUCUGAAAGCUAUGAAGACCAAGUAAAAUUAUCUGUAAAGUACCUGAUGCAUGAAGGUACUUGAUAAAUGACAGCUCUUAUUAUAUUGUAAAUGAGUAAUAGUUUAUAACAAUAAAAAUACUAUUUAUAUUUAUAUGGUAAAUGGAUAACAAUAAAAAUAAUAUCUAUAUUUAUAUAGUAAAUGAUUAACAAAUGAUAUUAAAAAAUAAUCUGGUGGCCUGACACAUAGAUAUUCUCAUAUUCUGGGACUUGGCAAAUAAAAAGUAAUUGGCACCACCCCAAUGGCCUGACCGCGAGUGGCCAGCUCCUUUGCCCAUUCUUAGACAGCUCUGAGGAGUUGCUGCAACAGAAAGGAGGAGGAAAGAUGCCAAGAAUUCAGUCUUCAAAGAUUGGAAGAGAAAAGAGCUCAGAGUAAAUGAACUUGACAUUGAACAACUGAUAGAGUUACUACCAUGUUGAAUUCCCUCAACCCAACAUCAGUGCAAAGCUUGGCUGUUCUUGUUUAUUGUUUCAGUCUCAGGGAGCAGAAAACCCCACAUCAACAAGGCAGUCAUGCAUCUGAGGGG
rnacentral:lncRNA from 1 species